rnacentral:ncRNA from 2 species
CAUUUAGCCAAAGUGACUGGUUCUACGAGUGCUUCAAUGCGCAGUGGAAGAAAUAGGGAACACGGUGCGGCGUACCCAAAAGGGACCAAAUCCGUGACUGCCCCCGCAACUGUGAGCGGUGAGUGACGCUGAACAAGCCACUGGGGUUCUCCCGGGAAGGCCAGCUGAACCAAGACCCGUGAGUCAGGAGACCUGCCGGACACAAAGAACGAUA